rnacentral:rRNA from 1 species
CACGACUACGAGUUUGAUCCUGGCUCAGGAUGAACGCUAGCGGCAGGCUUAAUACAUGCAAGUCGAGGGGCAGCACGGGUAGCAAUACCUGGUGGCGACCGGCAAACGGGUGCGGAACACGUACGCAACCUUCCCAUAACUGGUGAAUAGCCCUCCGAAAGGAGGAUUAAUACGCCGUAACUUAACGAAGUGGCAUCACUUUGUUAAUAUAGGCUUCGGUCGGUUUUUGGAUGGGCGUGCGCCUGAUUAGGUAGUUGGCGGGGUAACGGCCCACCAAGCCUGCGAUCAGUAACUGGUGUGAGAGCACGACCAGUCACACGGGCACUGAGACACGGGCCCGACUCCUACGGGAGGCAGCAGUAAGGAAUAUUGGUCAAUGGACGAAAGUCUGAACCAGCCAUGCCGCGUGAAGGAUUAAGGCCCUCUGGGUUGUAAACUUCUUUUAUCUGGGACGAAAAAAGGGUAUUCUUACUCACUUGACGGUACCAGAGGAAUAAGCACCGGCUAACUCCGUG